CAUUAGCCAUCCUCCGACUUGCGACUCGGGUUGGCGGGGAGCGACCUUCUGCUCCGGGAAGAGUGAGGCGAAUGACAAUGCCACGCAGGCCUCACGUGCUGAACGCCAGCUGACAACUCCUGUGAAAAAAAAAAAGGAUAAAUCCACUAUUUGGGUCAACUUGAUGCAACUUUCUGCAUUGUUUAAUACCAAAGGACUUCAUUGUUUUUGUUUUGAUUAAUUUGACCCAAUUUCUGGUCAAAAACCAGAAAAUUGAGUCACCUUGAGUUGGUCCAUUUUUUGUUUACUAUUUUUUUACUCAACUUUUCAGAGUGCAGGUUUUCCUCCCCCAGAUUUGAGUGUUUAUAUUCCUUCCAAAUUGUACAAUUCUGCCUUGAGUAAAAUUUGAGUGACACCCUGGCCACCCCACAGAAAAAAAGUCUUACUCCGCCCCUGGAAGUUCACCUGAAUUCUUUCAAAAUCAAAUGUCUGAAGUUUUUCUCUUUCUAGGCAGGUAUCGGACACGCUGAUGCUUUCGCAGCUCCAGAACAUCCUGGCAAGAUCUCGCUCGUUUCCGUGAAGGUGACCGAAAUUUUCUUCCCGAGUUUAUCCCGACGUGUUCCUGCGGAGGCAACCCGAGGCCGCUCUCCCGAACGCCUCUUGCAGACGUUGACAUAUCGAGGUUGGCAGCCUUCUUAGAAAAGCUUUGGCUGACCUCCAAAGAAGAACCGCAGCCGCCAGUAGGCCCACGGAGCUAGCAGUCGCCGCCUGACUGGCAGAUUCCGUUUGAGAAGUAGGCAGAGGAGGUCCGCUUUUGAAUCGUCACUCGGAUUUUUAGAUAUACAGUGAAGGAGCCACUCGAGUCCCGGCCAGGAGCUCUUUUUCCAACGUCGUCCUUUUUUCUUUGCGAAGGCAGAUGCCGAGCAAACAAGCGCGUGGCUCCGGAUGGAGCUUUGCACCAGACUUUGAUACGUCUCUAAUCUCCACUAAACUGUCCCCACUGGUUUUAACGCCCGUACGCAUUAGCCUAUGUCUUAAAACUUAAGAGUUUAUCGUUAGCUGCUAAAUUUAGACGCCUUGACUUAAGACUUGGAAUGCGUGUGCAUAUAUAUACAGCGUGCAAAAUUACAAACCUUCCCGAGUGUAACAAAGGAUGUGAACUGUGCUUUUGUUUUGAAAUCAAAUUACUCAUUGGCUGCCUUGAGGGAUAACUUGGGAGACACUUUGCUGUUAAAAGGAGGUCAACCAUGCAUCUUAUUUUCUAUUGUUUGUUUUUGCCCUUUUUUUUGCUUAUUACUUUUUACAUAUUAUUUUGCUUAU